ACCCCUCCUGCACCCCAACCCCUUGCCCUGAGCCCCCUCCUGCACAGCACACCCCGCACCCCAACCCCCUGCCCUGAAUCCCCUUCUGCACCCCACAUGCCCCCUGCACCCCAACCCCCCUGCCGGACUCCUCCUGCUUCCCAACCCCCUGCCCUGUGCCCCCUUCUGCACCCCUGCCGCACCCCACACCCCAAACCCCUGCCCUGAGCCCCCUCCCACACUACACCACCCCUCCUGCCCUGAGCCCCUUCCUGCACCCCCACCCCCACAGCCCACACCCCAACCCCCUGCCCUAGAUUCAUGGCCCUGCGUGCAAUUUCCCCACCCAGAUGUGGCCCUCAGGCCAAAAAGUUUGCCCACCCCCGGACCAGCGGCAAUGUGGAAAUUCCAGCGGGCAGGUGCAGCUGUGGUGCAAAGGGCAGGCGUCCGGCUGACGUGCGCGAAGGCCUGGCCUGGCCUGGCAAGCAGCGGUUUUCUGUUGCCGGCUAAAGCGGGCAGGAUUUUACUCCUGCAGCAGAGUUGUGGCAAAUCCCCAGACGGCACACAAAUGCUCUUAGAGCGGAGCAGCCUGGCAGCCAUCUGCCGGAAACAAUGGCCAUGGCCAGGUAUCUGAGGUGAGGGAUGGCUUUUGGAGAUGAUAGAACAUGUAUAGGAAGUUGAGCCCACUUAUCCUGAGGCUGCUCCUAAUGUCACGACUGCUGGCACAAGGCAAGUACAGGAUUUAAUGAACCACAGCAUGAGAAAAAUAGUCAAGUAAGCUGACUGACAAAUCAUGUCUCUGCUGCUCCUUUCUCAGACUCUGUCCUGAUGCCAUUUUGGAGAAGUGGCUUAAAGGAGUCACAGAGCUUGGGUGGGGCGUAAAACCUGAACAAUUGAGGGGGUGGCCUCUAUGGAAAAGGAGUGAGAUGAUUGGACACACUGGGCCAAACUUAUCUGUGGUAUAAUAAACUCCUGCAACUCCAUUGCCCCCAAAGAGAGGCCCAUGUGAUAGGAAGGCUACAUUGAUAGUAGCUCACGACCGGUUAAUAACUGAUUAAUAGAUGUUUCGAUAAAUGGUUCAUAGUUUGUUACAGAUUCCAGAGGUUCAAGAGAUUGACUAGAACCAUGACUGACACCCAUCUCGAACUCCUCUACAGAGAGCUAUCUGCAACCUACUCCGUAAUCCAACGGCUGGCAGCUGAAUCUAGGCAAAUACAGACUGGAAAUAAGACACAUCUUUAACUGCAGACCGGACACGCUGCAGGCACCUAAGAGAUUGGCACUCAGAGGCCAGGAGCUAUCCCCACUUUACAGAUGGGAAAGCUGAAGCAUAGGAAACCCAGCCCCACACAGCAAGGGGUUGGCGGAGAAGAGAAUACAAACCGAGGCCCAGAGCCUGAGCUGUGGUGUGGAGCCCUCAGGAAGGGUUUGGUGGAAAUCCGUCUUUAACCCUUGAUCCUACGCUAUCCUGACAUCGGCCUGAGGACUGCUCUCAGUUGUGGUGGCUGCUCUGAUCCCAAAGGGCCAAGCCAAGCAGCUGGCAUUGGCUGCAGGAGAAGGGCUAGCGAAGGGGUUGCUAUGCCAGCUCUGUACCACCCAAGAUUCCCCAAGGUCUAAUGGCCAGACCUACCAGCUUCGGGGCAGUUUUGUAUUGUGGAAGCAACUAAAAGGCACCCGUCCAGCGAUGGAAUCUGCUAGCACCGGUCUCCAAGCCCGAUGGGGUCCCACUGACACAUUUUAAUGCUCAUACUUGCUCACAGCGGUACAGAUGCCAUAGCCAGAUAAGCACGGACCCCACUCAGCUGUGCACUCUUCUUGUGAGCAUUACAAACACUUUGCACCUUAUCCUGCAGUAUUUCUACAGCCAAGACAGGAGCCGCCAUGCGGAACAUUGCGAUGUCACACAAGCAGCCCUGCUGCAAGCCAUAGAGCAAAACAAUGAUCAGUUGCCAGUGGCAGUCGCACAUCAGUUGAGCACCGUUUCUGGCCCUGGGAAAGCAGCACUGACUGGUGGGACCGGAUCGUUAUGCAGCUAUGGGAUGAUCAGCAGUGGCUCCAGAACUUUCCAAUGCGGAAGGCCACAUUCCGGGAACUUUGUGCAGAACUUUCCCCAGUCCUGAAGCGCAGCAAUACUAAAAUGAGGGCUGCUUUGACAGUGGAGAAACAAGUGGUGAUCGCUCUAUGGCAGCUUGCAAUGCCAGACUGUUACUGGUCAGUGGGGAAUCAGUUCAGAGUUGGUAAAUCCGUAGAAGCUGUUGUGAUUCAAGUCUGCAGGGCCAUUAAUCAACUUCUGCGAAGAAGGGUAGUGACUCUGGGCAACAUGCAAGACAUAGUGGAUGGUGUUGCCAUGUUGGGGUUCCCUAACUGUAGUGGGGCAAUAGAUGGCACGCACAUCCCAAUUGUGGCACCAGACCACCUUGCCAAAGCAUAUAUAUGAACUGAAAAGGAUCCUUCUCAGUAGUGUGGUAAGUGCUGGUGGAUCACAGAGGACAUUUCACCAAAGUCAAUGUGGGAUGGUCGGGAAAGGUGCAUGACAUGCGCAUCUUUAAGAACACAGGUCUGUUCAGAAAGUUGCCAGCAGGGACUUUCUGUCCCAACUGCAAAAUAACCAUUGAUUAUGUUGCCAUGCCAAUUGUGAUCUUGGGAGACCCAGCCUACCCCUUGCUCCCAUGGCUCAUGAAACCAUACACCAGCUGCCUGCAUAGUAGUAAGGAUGUUUAAAAGGUCGCUGGCGCUGUUUGCUUACUAGGUUAGACCUCCGGGAAAGCAAUAUCCCCAUUGCUAUUGCUGCCUGAUGUGUGCUCCAUAAUAUCUGUGAAACAAAGGGAGAAAACUUUCUCCUGGGGGGGAGGGGGGGGUUUGAGGCUGAUCGAUUAGCAGCCAACUUUGAACAGCCAGAUACCAGGGCAAUAAGAAAAGCCCAUUGAGGGGCUCUGCAUCUCUGUGAGUAUUUGAAAACCAGUUUCAGCAAUGAAUCACAGUAAUGUAACACUUACCUGUGUUGUUCCGUACCAAACUAUCCUUUCUAUUGCCUUUUCUCCACUGUAAACUCUACCCCCACCAACCACCAUGUGUGGAAUGAACAAAGAGCCUUUUUUUCUCA